CAGUUCGGUCCCUAUCUGCCGUGGACGUUGGAGAUUUGAGGAAAGCUGCUCCUAGUACGAGAGGACCGGAGUGGACGAACCGCUGGUGUUCGGGUUGUGUCGCCAGACGCAUUGCCCGGUAGCUAUGUUCGGAUAGGAUAACCGCUGAAAGCAUCUAAGUGGGAAGCCGGCCUCAAGACGAGAUCUCCCCGAGCUUCGGCUCCUGAAGGGCACUCCAAGACGAGGAGUUCGAUAGGUCGGAGGUGGAAGCACAGUAAUGUGUGGAGCUGACCGAUACUAAUCGCCCGUGAGGCUUGA
rnacentral:rRNA from 15 species